rnacentral:misc_RNA from 1 species
CGGGAGUACUAUGUCCAAUUUC